GCCGUGAUCGCCCCCAGCCUCACUGUUGCUCGCAUCAGCAAAUAUUUUGAUAACCCAAUCCCUUCCUCUUCCCCCGUGAGGUGCGGGCGCGAGCGAUGCGGAGCAGCAGCCAUGGAGGUCGUCAGCCUCAAACCCUUCUUUAGGGUUCCUCCCUCCUCUCAUCUCCAUCAAAACCCUACCCGUUCCCGUUCCCCGCUCCUCUCCUAUCAUUCCCGAUCCAAACCCUCGCCUGUCUCCAUCUCCUUCGACUCCCCGGCCAGGAGGUCACCGCCCACCCUCGCCGCCCCAUCUGUCUCCAGCUCCCCUCGCUUCAACCCGUUCUGCCUCCUCCUCCCCAUCCUCCACUCCUUCGGUGGGUUCGUCCUCUCCCGCCUGCCAAAGGUGCGGCCUUGGCUGCACGGCGGCCUCGAUGGUCGCGACGGGGAGGACGGCUACCUUUGCUGCGGCAGCAUCGGGACGCUGCUGAUGAGCACCACCGCGGCGGUGUCCAAGGCCCGGGUCAGCCCCUUCCUGUGGACGCUGGCCGGGAACCCGACCUUCGUGUCGGGGCUCGUGGCCUGGUCCCUGGCGCAGACCAUAAAGAUGUUCCUCAACUUCUUUGUGGAGCGGAGGUGGGACCUCGGGAUGCUGUUCAGCUGCGGGGGAAUGCCGUCGUCCCACUCGGCGCUUUGCACCGCGCUCACGGCUUCGGUGGCGCUAUGCCAUGGAGUGAGCGACUCGCUGUUCCCCGUGUGCCUUGGCUUCAGCCUCAUCGUCAUGUAUGAUGCGAUUGGCGUCAGACGGCAUGCCGGCAUGCAGGCUGAGAUUAUCUAGCUGGUUUUUGUCUUCGUUUUCUCGUGGCCAUUAAGGAGAACUUGUUGAUAAGUCUGCUUACAUGAUACAUGGUUGACCUGAGUUACGAAGGAUUUCACAUAACACUUCACUUCUACUGUAAGUAUAGGGAUCAUAGCACAGGUGAUGUGUGCCAUUUCCAAUUUCACCAUCUUAAAACAAUAUGCAUUUUGAGUCAAAGGUGUUGGCACCUGUCUAUGGUCUUUAUUGAAUAAGCAUCUAUGCAUGAUUGUUAUUAUUAAAACUAUAUGAGAAACUCCUUGUCUAACAUGAGAAACAUAGCAGCAUAAGCAGUUUAGACAGAGCAAGUUCAUUAUCAAAUAACAUUCUAACAAAGAUCAUAGUGAACCAGUCAAUCAAAUCAGCAUCAUGAAUCAGGAUGACAAUAAUAAAGGGUAAAAAAGAAGAAAUCAAGCUCAGAGAACCAAAAAAAUGAAAUGAAAGAUGCAUAACAUUAAACACAUUUAAGAAAACAGAAAAAUAGAACAAAAAGGAUAGAUAGUAUGAGAGAAAGAUUGGCGAGUCAGCCCAUAAGACAAAAAGAUGGAGGAAAAUUUUCUAACCUGAUAUCACUUUUUUCCCUAUCGUCUAUGUACUUUGUUUUCUGUCUUCCCUGCAUAUAAUAAACGGCAGUAGAGAGGUGGUCUUUUCCUACAUGCUCACGGGAAUAGUGCAGCCGUGGAGAACAUGCGUAAAAGAAACUGGGGAUCAAAUAUCAGGUGUAGCGGUUGGUAUCAGCAGGAAUUUGGUCUGACAGCCAACUCAAACAUAGACUGGAUGACAUAGUCUGACUUUGCUCAGUAUGAGUUGCAUGAUCCAAUAAGCUCAUGCUUACCAGAUGGUACUUAAUAAGAUCAUCGAGGACUUGUUUCAAGGGCAUCCCAUCAGUGAAAGAAAGCUAAAGGAGCUCCUGGGUCACACGCCAUCGCAAGUAUUUGCCGGGGCUGUUCUCGGCAUCUUGGUUGCUUGCAUCUGCUGUCA